rnacentral:lncRNA from 1 species
GACAAACUUAUCAAGCGCUUCCAUUAGGACCAUAUCCGAUUUUGUAGCAUUAGCUCGCCUCUCGGAACGAGGUAAGGGUACUUUAUUGACCAGUUCAAAGAGAAGAUAAUACUCAUGAAGCUAUACCUUCUUAUGCACCUCUUCCCCAUGGUGGUAGCUUGCUCUUUCAUGAUAGCUCUCCUAAAGUUAACCCCGCAGACACCCUUAACUGAGGACAUACCUUCACACGGAAUUCUGAGAACCUUUCCC